UACGGAGAGUGCAAGCGUUGUUCGGAAUUAUUGGGCGUAAAGCGCGUGUAGGCGGUCCAACAAGUCUGGCGUGAAAGCCUUGAGCUCAACUCAAGAAGUGCGCUGGAAACUGUCGGACUUGAGUACUGGAGGGGGAGUGGAAUUCUCGAGUGUAGAGGUGAAAUUCGUAGAUAUUCGGAAGAACAUCAGUGGCGAAGGCGACCUCCUGGACAGAUACUGACGCUGAGACGCGAAAGCGUGGGUAGCAAACAGG
rnacentral:rRNA from 1 species